rnacentral:rRNA from 1 species
CACACCGCCCGUCACACCAUGGGAGUUAUUUGCUCCAGAAGCACCUGUGCUAACCGCAAGGAGGCAGGGUUCCAAGGAGUGAAUGGUAACUGGGGUG